CCGUCUUUGAACUGCCUUUCCCAUGAGAUUGUGACAGGGGCUGCACGUUUGGAUCUUAUAAUCUAAGUUAUUUGCAAAGUAAAGCGAGCAAAUAAAGACCAGCACAUACCAAAAAUAAAAUUAUUUCAUUUCCAAACACACCAUAUCUGGUGUUAUUUGAUUCCUGCAAGGAGAAUGUUAAUUUAAUAGUAGUGGAGCAUCAGAACUGAAAGUGAAGAUCAAAAUCAAGAUCUCAGAUCUCUAUCCACCCACCAUGAGUUCCACCUCUGCAAAACCUGUCCGCUAUGAAGCUGUCAACCCACAUAAAUUAUAAUAUUUUCUCUGCACAUGGAUCUAACAAAUAACAAUUAGAAGAUACAAUUUGGUGGGAAAAGCAUGAAAUGCACCAAAAAAAAAAGAUGGUGAAUUUUGAUUUGCAAACUUCGAUGUCUUAAAUCUCUCUUGCACACCUCAACAUCCAUCUCAAACAAGACCAACAAGCCAAAAACUCAAAAUCACAUGAAAGGAAACUUCAGCUCAAGAAAUUAAUACAACUUAGCUUACAACAAACACACACAAGUAACCUUUUACACAGAAUCCACUUCAACCUGCUGCUUAGCCAGGUAUCUUUCCCUUCUUUCUUUCUGAGAACCAAAAGUUAAAAGCAUUGCAAGUGUCAGGAAAAUGUACAAGGAACUAUCGCCAUUUAAAUGAAGAUAGAAAAGAAAUGUUGAAUCUCUAUCUCACCCAUUCAUCUAUAACAAGCCCUUCACCGACUACUCUAGCGCCUGUGUCUUCAGGAGGUUUCUUGCGUGCCUCGAGCUCAGCUUCAGCUUCAGCCAAUUGUCGCUUCAGUUUUUCCAGUGCCUUAACACAAAAAACAAUAAAUAGAACAUAUUCAUUCAUAGAAUUAGAAUUUCUUUGUGUUGUUGCUUUUCUGUAUAUGUAUGGCUUAAGUGCCUGAGGCAAGCACUCAGUGGAUUAUUUCAACUCUACUUACAGGGUUGGGGCAUUCUGGAUCAAGAAAAAUGACCCGUAAAAUUUGCUCCACUGCCACUUGAUCCUUCUGCUCAUCAAACUGCAUAAAAGCAAUAAACAAAUCUUAUUCAGCUUUUUCUUAUUCUGUUUUCUAAUAAAUAAAACCUUUUAGAUAUUAGUUUUGGAAGUAGUCAA